rnacentral:rRNA from 1 species
CACGUAGGGCGCAAGCGUUGUCCGGAAUUAUUGGGCGUAAAGAGCUCGUAGGCGGUCUGUUACGUCUGCUGUGAAAACCCGGGGCUUAACCCUGGGCUUGCAGUGGAUACGGGGCAGACUAGAGGCAGGUAGGGGGAGAAUGGAAUUCCCGGUGUAGCGGUGAAAUGCGCAGAUAUCAGGAAGAACACCAAUGGCGAAAAGCAGCUCUCUGGGGACGGUACUGACGCUGAGACGCGAAAAGCGUGGGGGAUCAAAACAGG